GAUGAACGCUGGCUACAGGCUUAACACAUGCAAGUCGUGGGGAAACGGCAUUAUGUGCUUGCACAUUCUGGACGUCAACCGGCGCACGGGUGAGUAUCGCGUAUCCAACCUGCCCCUUACUUGGGGAUACCCCGUUGAAAGACGGCCUAAUACCCGAUGUGUUUCAUUGACGGCAUCCGAUAUGAAACAAAGGUUUUCCGGUAAGGGAUGGGGAUGCGUCUGAUUAGUUAGUUGGCGGGGCAACGGCCCACCAAGGCGACGAUCAGUAGGGGUUCUGAGAGGAAGGUCCCCCACAUUGGAACUGAGACACGGUCCAAACUCCUACGGGAGGCAGCAGUGAGGAAUAUUGGUCAAUGGACGCAAGUCUGAACCAGCCAAGUAGCGUGCAGGAUGGCGGCCCUAUGGGUUGUAAACUGCUUUUAUGUGGGAAUAAAUUGGCGCACGUGUGCGCCAUUGCAUGUACCUCAUGAAUAAGGACCGGCUAAUUCCGUGCCAGCAGCCGCGGUAAUACGGAAGGUCCGGGCGUUAUCCGGAUUUAUUGGGUUUAAAGGGAGCGUAGGCAGUUUUUUAAGCGUGCUGUGAAAUGUACCGGCUCAACCGGUGAUGUGCAGCGCGAACUGGGAAUCUUGAGUACGCAGUAAGCAGGCGGAAUUCGUGGUGUAGCGGUGAAAUGCUUAGAUAUCACGAAGAACUCCGAUUGCGUAGGCAGCUUGCUGUAGCGUAACUGACGCUGAAGCUCGAAAGUGCGGGUAUCGAACAGG
rnacentral:rRNA from 1 species